GAUGAACGCUGGCGGCGUGCCUAAUACAUGCAAGUCGAGCGAACAGACGAGGAGCUUGCUCCUCUGACGUUAGCGGCGGACGGGUGAGUAACACGUGGAUAACCUACCUAUAAGACUGGGAUAACUUCGGGAAACCGGAGCUAAUACCGGAUAAUAUAUUGAACCGCAUGGUUCAAUAGUGAAAGACGGUUUUGCUGUCACUUAUAGAUGGAUCCGCGCCGCAUUAGCUAGUUGGUAAGGUAACGGCUUACCAAGGCAACGAUGCGUAGCCGACCUGAGAGGGUGAUCGGCCACACUGGAACUGAGACACGGUCCAGCCUCCUACGGGAGGCAGCAGUAGGGAAUCUUCCGCAAUGGGCGAAAGCUUGACGGAGCAACGCCGCUUGAGUGAUGAAGGUCUUCGGAUCGUAAAACUCUGUUAUUAGGGAAGAACAAAUGUGUAAGUAACUAUGCACGUCUUGACGGUACCUAAUCAGAAAGCCACGGCUAACUACGUG
rnacentral:rRNA from 1 species